UUCCCCAACUCAUGCAUCUUCGAGUCAGCUCGAGUUUUUCCAUUGGAUUUAUUCCCUUUGGAUUUCUGCUCCCCAAGCUUUGAGUCGUGCCCUGCUCACGCAUUUCCUUCUUAUCCCCAUUAGAGUCCCCAGAGUCUCUGUCCCAUUUUAUGAGUAUAUUACUCAUAUGGAAUUUCAAUUUCCUCCCGAUCUUUACCUUUG
rnacentral:lncRNA from 1 species